CCCGCCCGGCUAGAGGGGCAGGGUUCAGGUCCCUGUGGCGUAGGCCUGCGUGGGUUCAAAUCCCACCCCCCCGC
rnacentral:tRNA from 1 species